rnacentral:rRNA from 1 species
GACGAACGCUGGCGGCGUGCUUAACACAUGCAAGUCGAACGGAAAGGCCCUGUUCUUGUGGGGUGCUCGAGUGGCGAACGGGUGAGUAACACGUGAGUAACCUGCCCUUGACUUUGGGAUAACUUCAGGAAACUGGGGCUAAUACCGGAUAUGAGCUCCUGCUGCAUGGUGGGGGUUGGAAAGUUUCGGCGGUUGGGGAUGGACUCGCGGCUUAUCAGCUUGUUGGUGGGGUAGUGGCUUACCAAGGCUUUGACGGGUAGCCGGCCUGCGAGGGUGACCGGCCACAUUGGGACUGAGGUACGGCCCAGACUCAUACGGGAGGCAGCGGUGGAAAAUAUUGCACGAUGGGCGGAAGCCUGGUGCAGGAACGCCGCGUGCGGGAUGACUGCCUUCGGGUAGUAAACCGCUUUCGCCUGUGACGAAGCGUGAGUGACGGUAAUGGGUAAAGAAGCACCGGCUAACUACGUG